UUUUAAAUCAACUUAUUACUGGGUUAGAACUGGUUCAGGAUUUAGGUUGCUAAGGUUGUUAAAAUUUAGUUACAACUUUCUUGCGGGUAUAUACAGUGAAUGACCCGUGUGCUGUACUUCAUAACGAAGGACUUGGCGAUUCCUGACCAAAGCAAAUGAUCACAAAACGCCGUGAGUGGACUAACACUUAGACGUUAUAAAGCCAACAUAAUUUUGAUUUGUGUCAUUGUCAUAAAUACACCAUGGACUAAAUCAAUAAUAUAUUUUAAUAUAUCAAUAACUUUAACUGAUAAAAAAUAUUAAUGGCCGACUGACGUAUACAUAUGAAACACCAUGUGAUCACUUUAUAUACAUGGCUAUAAUAAACAAAUUUACUAUAGAUA